rnacentral:rRNA from 1 species
AUACAGAGGGUGCGAGCGUUAAUCGGAAUUACUGGGCGUAAAGCGCGCGUAGGCGGCUUGGUCAGUCGGAUGUGAAAGCCCCGGGCUUAACCUGGGAAUUGCAUUCGAUACUGCUAGGCUAGAAUGUAGUAGAGGGAAGUGGAAUUCCGGGUGUAGCGGUGAAAUGCGUAGAUAUCCGGAGGAACAUCAGUGGCGAAGGCGACUUCCUGGACUAACAUUGACGCUGAGGUGCGAAAGCGUGGGGAGCAAACAGGAUUAGAAACCCCGGUAGUCC